GUGAAUGUGGACCAAGUCCUAAGGUUCACUUUUAGAUAUGUAUAACAUGGAUUUAACAUUCAAGGACGAAUGUCAUAUAAGGGGGGCAGAAUUUGAAGCCCCAAGAUAAUUUAAUGCUUAUUAAAAAUCUUGAAUUUAUAUUCAUUUGAUGGAGAUUAUGUGAGAGAAUUAGAUUUCUAAGUUUCAAGAUGAUGUGAGUAUGAAAAUACAUAUUUGAACGGGUCAAAAGCAGAUUUAAUUGAAUGGGUGGAGUAAUUAUUGAAUAUAUGUGUAAUGUGUACACACACUGGAGGCAUUAAUUUAUAAGUGAGAGUUUUAGUCAUUAUAAUUAGGGGCAUGUUGUAUGUGUUUAGCUGGUUAGUUAAAUAAUAUGAAUUAUUUAUUUGAGAAAAAGAUAAAUAUAUAUGGGUCAAGCCUACAAAUUUACUGCAUACAACGUGUGCCUUCGUGGCUGCUAACAGAGAACGAAAAAAAAAGGUUACAGGGUUUAGUUUUAAUUUGUCCUUUGUAACUUCUGCUGCUCUUGUCUCUCGUAUACAAAAGAUUAAAUUGUUGAUUGUCAUUGGAAAAAGGUAGAAGUUAACCUUGCUAGCAGUGAAGAAUCUUGAGGUGAGUUAAGACUUGCUCUUACUAAAGUCUUUUCUUACAAAGUCAGGUCUAUAAGGUGUUUGACAAAAUGCUUCUAAAUACGAAUGUGAGUUCAAUUGGAACGAGUGAGUUCACAUUGCCUUUGUUUAGUUAGUUACCCUGUGCUCUCUGUUUUCUCUUUGGAUUUAUCAAACUAACGUGGUAGUUACUACAUUGCAGUAUCAUAUGUCCUGAAAAUUAACUUUCAUAGUUGACAUACCAAAAGCAAUGAUAUUCUUAAGUUUAAUGUCCCAAAACAGUGAUUGUUCUCUGGAAACAUGAUCGAGUCUUCCAUCCAAAAUUUGUGUGAUUCUCUUUCAUGUUGGUAAUAACCGUAAUGUACUCCCUUAGAUCAGCAACUUGUUGGAACUUUAAAGAAAACUUAAAUAACUUAGUAAUCGUACAAAAUGGUUACCAGUAGCCGUAUAAAGGGUUACCGACUUGCCAUGAUUCAUUAUAUCUGAAUGGUGACCGUAUAAAGGGUCGCAAGCAACCGUACAAAGGGUUGCCACGAUUGUCAUAAUGAGGCACAAAUUUAGUGGUUGUAUAAAGGGCCACGAGUAACCGUAUAAGGGGCUACUCAUUACCAUAGUGGACAGAAUUAAAAAUGUUCAAUCGACUGAAUCAAUUUAAAGAAAGCGAAAAGAAUGAACUAAUUAAAUAAGCUAUAAGUUUUGUGAUUGUUCUCUUGCUUUACUCUGUAAUAUGCUCCAUAAGGCAUGCUGACUUGUUUUCUCUCAUUCCCUUAUCCCAUAUAUGUUUUAUACAAUGUCUCGUUCUGAUAUUAGUAAUGGGGAAUGUUGAGACUCUAGUGGUGUACUGACGUUCUCUUUGUGGAACCUAUAUUGACUUAUGUCAAUGUAGGUGUGCAGGUAAUAUAGACGAGCAGACUACAAGCUAAGCCGUUUUAUUCUAGAAGCUGAUUGGUGUGCUCCGCUCUUGAUCGUGGAGUUUCUCUUCUUUCAUCAACUUCAUUCACUUAUUUCUUUUUCAGUAUUCACUUUAGAGAUUAGCCAGGAAAUCUAUGUCCUGUGCAUUCCUCUUAGCACUCUAGUAGAGGCUUCAUAGACGUAUUUUUAGUUGGCUAUGGUUGAUCAUGUUACUUUGAAUUACUCUAAGAAUCAUUUGAACUGGUGUUCUAAUAAAGAUACUUGUCAUUUAUUUUAUAUGUGUGUGGGGUAUGUGACAUGAAAUUACAUGUUAGAAUAGUUAAGUCGGUUGGCUCGGUAA
rnacentral:lncRNA from 1 species